GAUGAACGCUGGCGGCGUGCUUAACACAUGCAAGUCGAACGGAAAGGCCCAAGCUUGCUUGGGUACUCGAGUGGCGAACGGGUGAGUAACACGUGGGUGAUCUGCCCUGCACUUCGGGAUAAGCCUGGGAAACUGGGUCUAAUACCGGAUAGGACCACAUUUUGGAUGGUGUGGUGGAAAGUUUUUCGGUGUGGGAUGAGCUCGCGGCCUAUCAGCUUGUUGUUGGGGUAAUGGCCUACCAAGGCGUCGACGGGUAGCCGGCCUGAGAGGGUGUACGGCCACAUUGGGACUGAGAUACGGCCCAGACUCCUACGGGAGGCAGCAGUGGGGAAUAUUGCACAAUGGGCGCAAGCCUGAUGCAGCGACGCCGCGUGGGGGAUGACGGCCUUCGGGUUGUAAACUCCUUUCGCUAGGGACGAAGCGUUUUUGUGACGGUACCUGGAGAAGAAGCACCGGCUAACUACGUG
rnacentral:rRNA from 1 species